UCACGGCUUAGUUAGGAGGCAUAAACUAAUUCCGAUCCCCAGAGUUUCUCUGCGGUCUUCUUCUGAGGCCUUCUUACUGGGGACUCUCUGUUCUUUCUCUCCCAAUUGUUCCCCAAGAAGCCUCAGACAUAU